UACGUAGGGUGCGAGCGUUAAUCGGAAUUACUGGGCGUAAAGCGUGCGUAGACGGUUAUGUAAGUCAGGUGUGAAAGCCCCGGGCUCAACCUGGGAAUUGCAUUUGAGACUGCAUAGCUAGGGUGCGGAAGAGGGAAGCGGAAUUUCCGGUGUAGCGGUGAAAUGCGUAGAUAUCGGGAGGAACACCAGUGGCGAAGGCGGCGAUCUGGACAGAUAUUGACGCUGAGGUGCGAAAGCGUGGGGAGCAAACAGG
rnacentral:rRNA from 1 species